rnacentral:misc_RNA from 1 species
CAACCCUCGGGGGCUCCUUUCCAGGGGCCGCCGGUGUUGGGGAUCGCCCGCCGCUCCAGGCGGUCGUCCCCCAAAAGUAUUGGCGGUCUCGCUGUAGCCUCCUCUGCGCAGUAGCUAUUGUUCUCGCAGGCGGAGCGCGGCGCGGCCUCGCCGUAAAACCCCCAACUUUCACAA